rnacentral:siRNA from 1 species
CAGCAAUGAUUACUUCCUUGGAGC